rnacentral:rRNA from 1 species
AUUGAACGCUGGCGGCAGGCCUAACACAUGCAAGUCGAGCGGAUGAGUGGAGCUUGCUCCAUGAUUCAGCGGCGGACGGGUGAGUAAUGCCUAGGAAUCUGCCUGGUAGUGGGGGACAACGUUUCGAAAGGAACGCUAAUACCGCAUACGUCCUACGGGAGAAAGCAGGGGACCUUCGGGCCUUGCGCUAUCAGAUGAGCCUAGGUCGGAUUAGCUAGUAGGUGAGGUAAUGGCUCACCUAGGCGACGAUCCGUAACUGGUCUGAGAGGAUGAUCAGUCAACACUGGAACUGAGAC